GACGAACGCUGGCGGCGUGCCUAAUACAUGCAAGUAGGACGCAGUUGCGAACGGGUGAGUAAAGCGUAGGUACAUGCCUAUUAGAGGGGGAUAACUCUUGGAAACGAUAGCUAAUACCGCCUACUAGUAGAUGGACCUGCGUUGUGUUAGAUAGUAGGUAGGGUAAUGGCAUACGUAGGCAACGAUACAUAGACGACCUGAUAGGUUGAUCGGACCAACAGGGACUGAGACACGGCCCAGACACCUACGGUAGGCAGCAGUAGGGAUGAUUCGGAAAUGGGGGGAACCCUGACCGAGCAACGCCGCGUGAGUAAAGAAGGUUUUCGGAUCGUAAAGCUCUGUUGGUAAGGAAGCGGUACUUAACCAGAAAGGGACGGCUAACUACGUGCCAGCAGCCGCGGUAAUAC
rnacentral:rRNA from 1 species